GCAUUAAGUAAAUAAAUUGCUUUCGCGGCACCCAAAAAUGUUAGAAAAAAUUCGUUUUUUCAGACAAUAAAAAAAAAAAAAAAACCGUGGGGAAAGUCCUCCUGUAAUAAGGUAGAAAGUACCUCUUUUGACUAAGGGGGCGUCUUAAAUGUCAGCCGAAGAUUUUUAUUUUUUUUUAUUAAAAAAUAAAAUGAGGCAUUUAAUGGCAUUUUCGAACUCUCUUUUCAAUAGCAAAGUCAUGCAAUUAGAAAUAGAACUCAUAAAAGCUUAAAAAACUUUUUUGAUUCUAUCUUCCAACACAAGGAGGCUUACUUUUACUUAAUG
rnacentral:RNase_MRP_RNA from 1 species